rnacentral:misc_RNA from 1 species
UCCGAGUUGACCCCGGCAGUCUCCUGCGAGUCCCCGCCAUUACGCGCUGGCAACACAGGACAAGGGUUGCGCUCGUUGCGGGACUCAACCCAGCAUCUCCUGUCACUAGCCGUUCGAGCCCAGGUAAGGUUCUUCGCGUUGCGUCGAAUUAAACCACAUACUCCACCGCUUGUGCGGGCCCCCGUCAAUUCCUUUGAGUUUCAACCUUGCGGCCGUACUCCCCAGGCGGAGAACUUAACGCGUUAGCUACGACACCGAGAGGCAGACCCUCCCGACAUCCAGUUCUCAUCGUUUAUGGCGUGGACUAC